rnacentral:lncRNA from 1 species
CUUUAGUGAUCGACAGGGGUCUGAUUGAUUGAAAAGCUCUAGUGAUGCUCACUGAUCUGUUUGAACGUGUUUCUACACCAACUCAGAGAAGAGACUCAUCUAACACACUGCAGUAAUAAAUGUGGUUUUCUAGUCGUUUAUUGAAAGCACAUCUUGACUGUAAACUGUAGCCAUUAAUAGUAGCCAUUUUAGCCAGUUGUGGCUAAAAAGUGCUGGACACAGCUAGGGCGGACAUCAUGGUUAAAGUGCCAAAGAUUCAUGUCAAGUAAAGGCAAUGGAGGAGGAUGAAAACAAGGCAGACUGACAGGUGGCAGAGAGGGCAGAUGGUGUUUCUGCAGACCUGUCCAUGUGAAGGAAAGCUCGCAAUGGGCCAAAAUCCAAAUGCAAAAUAUUUCCUUUGUGCAGUGGCACAAACACAUGCAGCAGUGGCCUGAUCUGUUGACCCAACGCUCUUGGCAGUUCGAAAUAAGCCAGGUAACCCGAGAAGCCUGUUUUCCCUGAGCUUUCCUCUACAGGACAGGCCUCUC